GGGCUCGUGGCGGAACUGGUAUACGCGCACGCCUCAGAAGCGUGUCACUGAAGGUUCGACUCCUUCCGAGCUCACCC
rnacentral:tRNA from 1 species